AGGGGACUCUCAUUUUCUGAGUACUGCAACUUUAAAUGAAGAAAUCCCUUUUCCUACCUUCAUUUAAAUUCAAACACAUUACAUGAUGGGGGCAGAGCAGACAGGUCAGUUCUGAUCCCGAGCUCUGGCAGCUGCACGACGCGGAGCAGAGCAGCUCAGAGGGGAGUGUACAGCUGUUCCUAGGUGGCAUCAAACUGCCAGGAUGGGCUCCAGCCAGAGGAGCAGGAUGAGACUGCAAGGAGCCACAGCUGGACCUCCUUAAACUCAGAUAUCCUUUAAAACAAGUGUUGGCUGAUAUCACUGUGGCCCACCGGACUAAAACUUUCUGAAGACAUUGUGGCACCUAGAGAAAAUCAAUUCUCCUGACAUUUAGGCUUCAGAAGAACACCUUUUUCCCAUUUCUUUUUUUCUUAAAGAAAAAAAAAAAGA